UUGUGUGAUUUGUCGUUUGAGGUGGAGGAUCUUGCUUUGUGUGUUUAUGACAUUUGAGGGAGGAGCUACACGUUUGGUGUUUCUUGGUGGUGACUCGAGAUGAAGCCCGGUUGAAAGCUUGAAUCUGUGUCUGAGUCUAAGGGUCGAAGCGCAAUUGCUGGUUUCGGUGUUUGAAGUGAUGGGAGAAUGCGAGCUGCGGGCUGUUUGAUGCGGUAACUUUGGCUAUGGCGAAGCUUUAGCUUGGGGUGUCAAGAUUGUGAUUCUUGUUUGGAAGUGGGUUUGUCUUUGGUGGGGUUAGUAUUAGCUGCGGUCAUACAGAGCUUUCAAUUUGGAAGGGAGAAGUGAGUCUUCAGUGUCACUCUUCAGUGUCACACAAAUUGGUUCGUGCAUCCGACGAAAGUUGGUUCCCACAGAUAUGGUGCACCAUGAUGGUUCCAAGGUUCUGUAAAUAAGGUCCAGGUACACGCUUGUGUAGACCUUUCUUUUAACCUACUUGUGUCUAAUGAUAGGCUUCGAUAGUGCACCUUUGAGAACUAUAUCAAAAUACGAACGAGUACUGCGUCCAUGUUAAUGUAGUUGGUUGAGACAAAAGAACAGAAAUCAGUAGAGAGGCUGCAGUCAAGGCGCAAGUAGUGAUCUGUUCACAGUAGUCGGCGAUUCUAAUUGUACCGUCGGUAGGAAAAGCUGUUGGAAAUCAUGCUAGGAACCCCUCUCGCAUUUGGAUUGACCAUGAUUUUGUGCUUCACUCUAUUUUCCUACUACUAGCGCAUUCGGCAACUCCGAGCACACCUCCUGGCUGCCCAAUCUGCACCAUUCCAAGACGGCUUCCCCGUUAAAAUUGGAAUUGGGAAGCAAGUUGUAGAGACGUUUCCAACCGUCAAAGCAUGUGAGCUGAAGUGCACUGCUAGAGCAGACAUGCAGUGCCCGAUAUGCCUCGUGGAAUACGAAGAGUGGGAAGUUCUCCGGCAGUUACCCUUUUGCGGCCACAUCUUUCACCCUCUCUGCGUGGGUGCUUGGUUUGAGAAGCAAACAACUGUCCAGUCUGCCGCACGAGCAUGUCACAGUUUGCGAAACCAUUCGGCCAUCCUCUAGCUGCAGAGAACACACACCAUUGUAGAGUAGGGCGUCUCUCUUCGGAUGAUACGGUGGAGGCGGCCAGUGGCGACACUCCGUCCUGGAUAAUGGUCAACUACCGUCUCUCGUUGCAUGACCAGUGUUGCCUGCAGCGGAAACCACUAAAAGUACUCACAUUUGCAUUUACUCAUGUGGGAUUCCGAAUGAAAAUGGAGGAACUCAGCCUAAGACUGAUCGACUUAUCAGGGAGUCGUAAGUACGUGCAGUUAGAUGUUAGAGAGAAGAAAUGAGCUGCGCACAUUUUCAUGCAGUGAACAUACCACAAGAGCGGCGAGAAUGCAUGUGUUUCAAAUGCAAUCACAAGACGAAGCCGGUCAAAACUGCCACUUCUGAUUAUUUGUACUCAAGGGGCGCAUUUGAAUCUCUGCAUGAACAGGGAGAUAUUCAAAUUCUGGUUAUUCAACGAAGCAUUUUGACAAGAACAGGGGAAAGCAAUGUAAAUGAGCAUGGUUUAGCUGUAGGAGAGAUAACCAAUCCUCUGGAAACAAGUACAGUAUAAGAUGGUAGGAACACAAUAUGUUACUGUGGUGGAGCUGACUCUGUAAGUGGACCUCAUUCUAAAGCCGAUUCUAGUCUAAAUUAUAGAGAAAGCAAUAUGCCAAAAGACGUACACAUCCUGUCAGGCACUCUCGAAGGGUUCAUCGAAUUUCAUACCGUUCUAAUGCAAAACGGUGAAUUAACAAUCAGAACAACGACCUCGUGACGUAAGAAUCACAAUGUGUGCUCCCGCUAAAAAUAUGCCAAACGGACGUGUGCGAUCACUACAUACUAAGCACCUUUGAAAGUUUCGCAAUAGCUUGCAAUUCUGAUGUCAUACAAUGAAAACGACAAUUUCCAGCUCA